GGAUGCCUGGGCAGUCAGAGGCGAUGAAGGACGUACUAACUUGCGAUAAGCGCAGAUAAGGCAGUAAGAGCCGUUUGAGUCUGCGAUUUCCGAAUGGGGAAACCCAACUGCAUAAGCAGUUACUGUUAACUGAAUACAUAGGUUAACAGAGCAAACCGGGGGAACUGAAACAUCUAAGUACCCCGAGGAGAAGAAAUCAACCGAGAUUCCGGUAGUAGCGGCGAGCGAACCUGGAUUAGCCCUUAAGCACUCGGUGAAGUAGGUGAACAAGCUGGAAAGCUUGGCGAUACAGGGUGAUAGCCCCGUAACCGACGCUUCAUCGAGCGUGAAAUCGAGUAGGGCGGGACACGUGAUAUCCUGUCUGAAUAUGGGGGGACCAUCCUCCAAGGCUAAAUACUCCUGACUGACCGAUAGUGAACCAGUACCGUGAGGGAAAGGCGAAAAGAACCCCUGUGAGGGGAGUGAAAUAGAACCUGAAACCGUGUACGUACAAGCAGUAGGAGCACCUUCGUGGUGUGACUGCGUACCUUUUGUAUAAUGGGUCAGCGACUUAUAUUCAGUGGCAAGGUUAACCGUAUAGGGGAGCCGUAGCGAAAGCGAGUCUUAACUGGGCGCUCAGUCUCUGGAUAUAGACCCGAAACCGGGUGAUCUAGCCAUGGGCAGGUUGAAGGUUGAGUAACAUCAACUGGAGGACCGAACCGACUAAUGUUGAAAAAUUAGCGGAUGACUUGUGGCUAGGGGUGAAAGGCCAAUCAAACUCGGAGAUAGCUGGUUCUCCCCGAAAGCUAUUUAGGUAGCGCCUCGGACGAAUACUACUGGGGGUAGAGCACUGUUAAGGCUAGGGGGUCAUCCCGACUUACCAACCCUUUGCAAACUCCGAAUACCAGUAAGUACUAUCCGGGAGACACACGGCGGGUGCUAACGUCCGUCGUGGAGAGGGAAACAACCCAGACCGCCAGCUAAGGUCCCAAAGUAUUGCUAAGUGGGAAACGAUGUGGGAAGGCUCAGACAGCUAGGAUGUUGGCUUAGAAGCAGCCAUCAUUUAAAGAAAGCGUAAUAGCUCACUAGUCGAGUCGGCCUGCGCGGAAGAUGUAACGGGGCUAAGCA
rnacentral:rRNA from 1 species